rnacentral:miRNA from 2 species
AAACUGCUCUAAGACCUUUGGG